UACGUAGGGUGCGAGCGUUAAUCGGAAUUACUGGGCGUAAAGCGUGCGCAGGCGGUUCGUUGUGUCUGAUGUGAAAGCCCCGGGCUUAACCUGGGAAUGGCAUUUGGGACUGCAAGGCUGGAGUUUGGCAGAGGAGACUGGAAUUCCUGGUGUAGCAGUGAAAUGCGUAGAUAUCAGGAGGAAUACCGAUGGCGAAGGCAGGUCUCUGGGCUAUAACUGACGCUCAUGCACGAAAGCGUGGGGAGCAAACAGG
rnacentral:rRNA from 1 species